UUGGUAUUUUGUCGAUCCUUCCUUUUGUUGUUAUGGGGCUCAUUUCGAUUCCCAAAUUAAAGCCUGCUAGAUGGUUAGUGGCAGAUGUACACAGUAUUGAUUGGAACUUGUAUCUGAAUACUCUCUUCUGGAAUCUGAAUUAUUGGGAUUCAAUAAGUACUCUUGCCGGAGAAGUACAUAACCCGAAAAAGACUCUACCUAAAGCUUUGUUUUAUGCUGUUAUUUUAGUUGUUUUGUCCUACUUUUUCCCCUUGUUGAUUGGCACUGGUGCUGUUCCCCUUGACCGUGACUCGUGGACAGAUGGAUAUUUCUCAGAUAUGGAGAAGUACAUAACCCGAAAAAAACUCUACCUAAAGCUUUGUUUUAUGCUGUUAUUUUAGUUGUUCUGUCCUACUUUUUUCCCUUGUUGAUUGGUACUGGUGCUGUUUCCCUUGACCGUGACUCCUGGACAGAUGGAUAUUUCUCAGAUAUAGCUAAAAUACUCGGU
rnacentral:lncRNA from 1 species